CUCUCGGCAACGGAUAUCUCGGCUCUCGCAUCGAUGAAGAACGUAGCGAAAUGCGAUACCUGGUGUGAAUUGCAGAAUCCCGCGAACCAUCGAGUCUUUGAACGCAAGUUGCGCCCGAGGCCUUUUGGCYGAGGGCACGCCUGCCUGGGCGUCACGCCAAACA
rnacentral:rRNA from 1 species